CCUGCCCAUCUACUACUUUUUGACCCCAAACCUACCCUAGACCCCCUUACCCAGACACUCAAACAUACGUUCACAUUCUUCCUGUCCUGACUCUCACUCUUGCGCUCUCUCUUUCAUUCACCGACACAAAAGACACCAACACAAUCAAUGAACAAAAAGUUAACUAUUUGGCUGAAUGCAAUUUAGGUGGAUCCUUAAAUAAAAAAAGAAAGAAAGGAAGAAAAGAAAGAUGAAAGAGCUCUAUGGCUUGCAAGUGUCAAGAGGACAGCAGGCGGAAUGUUUUUUGUCCUUGUGGAAGACAACAGAAAGUGAAGAAACGGCUUGCAUAAAAGAACGCUUUCCCGAGGCAGAAAAAUGAUCUCUCUGUUAGUCCUUUUUGUUAUUAGUUUGCACCUCUAACUAUAAAUGGACUUCCACACUGUAAGGAAUUAUUUUGUAAAAUUAGAUUCCUGUUCCAGCACCUUUUAAUCACAAACAAAAAGCAGAAAAGAAGUCUGCAAAAUUGCACAUCGCCACGGAUUACGUCAAAGGAAAGAAAAAAAAGCACUAUUUUUUUAUGAACAAUGAACGUGUAGCUUAAAAAAAUGUCAUGGUGCUAGCUUUUAGAAUGGACUCAGAGAAGAAGGGGUUGAAAAGCACGUUUUUUUCCCGCUUUUAAUGAAUAUUAAAACUUUCCGUUUUAAGGAAAGUGUGACUUUAAAAAGGAGAAUAAAAGACGGUGCGUGCUAGCACUAUGCGCUAACAGCUCCCUUGAGGAAGUGGUAGGGGGACCUGAGACCCACUCCCCUCUCCGUUGGCCCCAAGGCCCUACGAGAACUGGGAGCAGUGUGGGGACAUAACAGGACAUUAUGGACCGCCUGGAUUGGAACAGUAGUUUGACUUCUUGUUCCGGGACAGUACUUCCUGUUUUGUCGUGGCUUUGAAGAACCCUGGCCUGCUCUGGAAGGAGGUGACACGUUAAUAUGGACACAGAACGAGUGGGAUAAUGAUGAUAAUAUUUUGGGGUUUUGACAUAUUUCUUUUUUCUUUUCAUGUCUGUGUUUCAAGGAGAGAAAAAAAGUUAAACCCUGUCAGUUUCUGGUACCGUGACAUUCCUGCUUUUUGCGAAAUAGGCAUUUUUUGGUUAAACAUUUUGUCCAUCGUUAUUGUUAUAAUAUUAUUCUACAGUUUUUAAGAAAGGCACAAAUUUCAAUUCAAAGGGAAACAACAGCAAUAAUGUCAACUAACAUUUUAUUUUUAAUUGUAUAUCAGUAGUAUUCUCAUGCUUUUGCCUG
rnacentral:lncRNA from 1 species